GACGAACGCUGGCGGCGUGCUUAACACAUGCAAGUCGAACGGAAAGGCCCUGCUUUUGUGGGGUGCUCGAGUGGCGAACGGGUGAGUAACACGUGAGUAACCUGCCCUUGACUUUGGGAUAACUUCAGGAAACUGGGGCUAAUACCGGAUAGGAGCUCCUGCUGCAUGGUGGGGGUUGGAAAGUUUCGGCGGUUGGGGAUGGACUCGCGGCUUAUCAGCUUGUUGGUGGGGUAGUGGCUUGCCAAGGCUUUGACGGGUAGCCGGCCUGAGAGGGGGACCGGUGGCAGGGGAGCUGAGCCGGCGGCAUGGGUCAGACGGGAGGCAGAAGCGGGGAAGGGGGGACAAUGGGGGAAAUUGUGACACAGGGGGGGCGCGCGUGUGAAGAAGGCCCGGGGAGGGGAAUGCCGGCUAAGGUGUGGGAACCGGCUGUCACUUGUGACGAGGCUGGUUUGACGUUACGGGCAAAAGAAGCACCGGCUAACUUCGUG
rnacentral:rRNA from 1 species